rnacentral:rRNA from 1 species
UAAUACAGAGGCCUCGAGCGUUAGGCGGAAUCACUGGGCUUAAAGCGUGUGUAGGCGGAUCGUUAAGUGCCUUGUGAAAUCCCACGGCUCAACCGUGGAACUGCUGGGCAUACUGGCGAUCUUGAGCCACCUAAGGGCAACUGGAACAGACGGUGGAGCGGUGAAAUGCGUAGAUAUCGUCUGGAACGCCAAUGGUGAAGACAGGUUGCUGGGGGUGCGCUGACGCUGAGACACGAAAGCCAGGGGAGCAAACGGGAUUAGAUACCCCGGUAGUCCUGGCCCUAAACUAUGUCCACUAGGUCGUGGGACUUUUGACGGUUCCAUGGCCGAAGUAAAAAUGUUAAGUGGACCGCCUGGGAAGUACGGUCGCAAGGCUA